rnacentral:rRNA from 1 species
GGAAGGAUCAUUAGCGAAAUAAAAUAAAAUAAAAUGGGUUGCUGCUGGCUUCGUGCACGCCCUUAUUUGUUUUUCAUUUCAUUCCUGUGCAUUUUUUGGGGGUAGAUUGGUUUGUAAACCGGGUCUAUCUUUAUUUUUUUAUUAUAACUCCAAGUGUGUAUUGUUGCUUAAAAAAAAAUUAAAAAACAACUUUCAGCAACGGAUCUCUUGGCUCUCGCAUCGAUGAAGAACGCAGCGAAAUGCGAUAAGUAGUGUGAAUUGCAGAAUUCAGUGAAUCAUCGAAUUUUUGAACGCAUCUUGCAUCCUUUGGUAUUCCAAAGGGCAUGCCUGUUUGAGUGUCAUGCUUUUUAUAUUCUCAACUACAUAUGUUGUUGUGUAGAUUGGAUAAUGGUGGCUUGCUGGAUAAUGACAGCACCACUGAAAUGCAAACUAUGUGAUGAAUAAGAAAUAACAUUUGGUCUUAUUCUCAAUCCCUCCUUCGCAUUUAAGAACUGACCUCAAAUCAGGUAGGACUACCCGCUGAACUUAAGCAUAUCAAUAAGCGGAGGAAAAGAAACUAACAAGGAUUCCCUUAGUAACUGCGAGUGAAGUGGGAAGAGCUCAAAUUUGAAAUCUGGUGGUCCUUUAUGGGCCGCUCGAGUUGUAAUCUAAAGAAGUGCCGCCCGCGCUGGAACCUGUGUAAAAGUCUUCUGGAAUGAAGCAUCAUAGAGGGUGAGAAUCCCGUCCUUGACAUGGGGAUAUUUUUUUCUGGGGCUUUGUGGCGCGCUCUCAAAGAGUCGAGUUGUUUGGGAAUGCAGCUCAAAAUGGGUGGUAAAUGCCAUCUAAAGCUAAAUAUUGGCGAGAGACCGAUAGCGAACAAGUACCGCGAGGGAAAGAUGAAAAGAACUUUGGAAAGAGAGUUAAACAGUACGUGAAAUUGCUGAAAGGGAAACGCUUGAAGUCAGUCGCAUCAGCUUGGAAUCAACCUUUUUGCUUUUGCUGGGUGCACUUCCUUGAUUCUGAUGGGCCAGCAUCAAUUUUGACCGUCGGAAAAAGGUCUUGGGGAAUGUGGCAUCACUCUGUUCGAUGUGUUAUAGCCUUUUGAUCAUAUGCGGCGGUUGGGAUUGAGGAGCUCAGCACACCCCCAAAAGGGCUUUUUACAUUUUUUUUAAAAAAAUUGUGCUUAGGAUGGCUGGCAUAAUGGCUUUAAGCGACCCGUCUUGAAACACGGACCAAGGAGUCUAACAUGCCUGCAAGUGUUUGGGUGGAGAAACUCAUGCGCGAAAUGAAAGUGAGAGUUGAGAUCCCCUCUUGGGGGGGAGCAUCGACACCUGGACCAGAGCUUUUUGCGACGGAUCCAUGGUAGAGCAUGCAUGUUGGGACCCGAAAGAUGGUGAACUAUGCCUGAAUAGGGUGAAGCCAGAGGAAACUCUGGUGGAGGCUCGUAGCGAU